CGCCUUCGACCCCACCUCCCUCACCGCCCCGCCGCUCGCCAUCGCCUGCACUGCACCACCACCCUUCGCAGGAUGAGACGGGAAGAAGAGAUGCGGGUGGAGGCGGCGGUGGUGGAGGACGCCGGGAGUGGAGGUUACGGCUUGGGGUUUUCCUCUGCUUUGCGGCCGCGCGAUCGAAUCGAUCGAUCGGGUGGGUCGUGCAGAGCAGCGCGGAGCGAGCUCAGAGCCCGGAUGGGUCGCCUCCUUUUUUUUUUUUUGUGCGGCUUUCCCGUGCGGCGAUGAGACGGGGGCGGACGGCGGCGGAAUACAUUCGAGAAAGGGGGCGCGUGGGAAAGCGACGGCCGGGAGCCGGGCCGCGGUCCGGCGACGCACGUGGGGGCCCGUGAGGCGUGACCGGCCGGGCCAGAGAAAAGAAAAGGAAAGGUCACGGCGGUGGGUUUCGGCCCACGAGACAUUCAAUUGAUAGGCACCCACAGCCCAAGGUGGUGAGGUUUCGGCUUGUUUCGGCCUGGUCCGGCGCAUUUUUUGGGGGACGUGCGUGUGCGGUGGACCUGGUGGUGGUGGCGCCGCCAGCCUGGCAAAGUGACGUUGUGUGCUGCUGGGCGGCGGUGGGGUCCAGCCGCCGUCUGCGCGGCUCGCUGCCGGUCGAGGAGCCUAUAAAAGGGGAGGGUCUCCGGCAGCUGGUGAGCGCCCUCGCUUGCGCAGAAACCCUAGUCGCCACAUCACGGCCGCCUCGCUCGAUCGGCAUACCGGUCGCCUUGCUCCCAUUUCUCACCUCCAUCUCUCUUCAGUCUUCAGAUCUGUGCACGGCCACAUCAAGCAUGUGCCUCUCCUUUCUCUGAUGUUGGGAGCGUAGCAUAGUAAGCCGGUUGCCGCGAGGUACUGUGAUUUGUGUUUGCGUCUCGGUCCUUUUGAUUGAUGCGGUUUUGGUUGUUUUUUUCUUCCGUUUGUGUGCGUCUUUUUGCCGGAUCACACGGAUCGAUGAUGCUGUUCAAGAAAUACUGCGUUAUCUUCCUGAUACAAAUGUGAGGCCGUCGUUGCGAUGGCCUCCUGAUGACUCAACUGUCUUGCUGAGAUCCAAGUGACAACAAAUCGGCAGCUCUUCUUUCUGUCGCCUCCCCGCCUCAAUCAUCUGCCUAUGCCUAUCAAUUGAAUGUCUCGUAGUCGUAGGACAGGUGUUUUUAUUUUCGUCGCUCAAUCCAUCUUGCCGCCCUGCUAUAAGAGCAUAUGUAACUGCCUUGCUUGCUUCAUAUGGUUGAAUUAAUACGAUCUGACUAGCCAGAUUUAGAAUGGUUGCUUCAUCAAACCAUCAAAUAAUUGAGCCCAAUCCAUCGAUGUUGCAAACCUAUGUGACCUCAACCAGACCAGUUGCAGUUUCAGUGCAGAGUUCAGACAAGCAUUCCUGAAAGGUCACCAACUCUUUGCUGCAUAUUAGCUUUUUUUAUAGCAAUUACUCAAACCGCUUUUCAGACCAUAACCGAAAUUAGCAGCACAUGACGUCUGAGACAGACAGAAAGUAUGGCAUCAGGGAAAAAAAAAAGGUCCCAAGCUAAACAGCAAGUGUAAAGCCAGCUAAUGCAGUUCACAAAUACUUGCAGCGACUUAAACUGCACCAAUUAACACAGUGAAGAUGAACACAGCAAAGUCAAGUACGUGCAUGUUAACCGAACACAGCCGAAUACGGUGCUACCAGUUUACUGAGAUGGUAUCUGGCGGAAGAAAGGUUAACUGAGUUAUGACACGAUUACAUUACAGGCAAUGCGGAAGCAAACUACGGUGUCAGCGUUUAACACCACUUUUCACAGUAUUGUCAAGCAAGCUUAUGUACAGCUGCUCUAACGAAUUUACAGUGACUCCAGCAAGCUCUAUCUCACGACUGAUGAUGGCGGAGCUUCCCCUAGUGUCUCCUAACCGUCAGCGGCAUAGAAAGGAAUCGACUUCAGUGGCAUCACCUUCUCCUGCAAUAUAAGGAAGUGCUGUCAGUGAAUUCUAACCUAUGCCUGGUAAGAAAAUGAACAGGAAUAGCGUGCCUUUGUUGCUACCUCAGAGUUCUCCAGAUGCUCUGAGGGGAAAUGAAGCCCAGUGGAACAGUUCUCAAGCACCUCCGGACUCUUCAGCCAUGCUUUGUGAGCUUCAAUGGCUUUCAGCUUAAAGCGAAACAUCUGCAAGUGCCAACAUCCACCCAUUUUCAGGCACACCACAUAUAAUGUACAGAAAAGUGAAAUGAAUUAUCCUGAAAGAGAAGAGAAAUAAGUAGCUGACAAGGAGUAAUAAUGUGCUACAAACCUCAGAUAAAGAAAUACUUGGCUUCUCCAGUUCAUCCCCCUUGACAUGAAUUCCAGUACCUUGACACUCUGGGCAAAAUAUGGAUGUUAUUUUGCUCUUCUUAGGUGCAUUCUUUGCCUUUCUUCCUCGAUUGCUCUUCCCCUUGCUAGCUAUUUGGUCACUCAGCAUCUCAUAUUGACACAAAAUACUCCAGUGUAAGAGGCAGGAAGUGUGAAACAGAUGAUAAGCCUGCAAAAUCAAGUGUAGCAAACUCAUUACAGCAGCAAAUUAAAAAUUUAAAAAAAGGAGACUUUCUAAUUAGUAUAUUUAAUAAGAUGGAAGAAAAGGAAUUCUGCCACUGCAUUUUUGUCUCAGGGAAGAUAGCUUUGUAUUGCUAAUUGUGAAACAAGGAUGCAGAAGGUCUAACUUUUGAAUUAUGUUCUCAUUUACUUCCUCUGUACAAAAAUAGUAAACCUGUCCAUGCUGCUAUGUUCAAGAAACAUUAUGGAAUAGAAGAGCAAAGAAUGCUUGAAAUUACUCACCCCACUCGAAUUUCUACUGCUGCAAGCUAGGUUUCCUGUAUUGCAGUUCAGCAAGGUAGCAACAUCCUUUCCAGGAAGCAUUGGUCUCCCACAGAUAUCACACACUUUCUCAGCUGCUAUGCGCUUCUGCUUCCUCAACUCUUUCCUCACUGAUUUGCUGGAUAAGAGGCCAACUUGAAGAUUGUGUGAGGUACCUGUUGGGGAACCAGUCACAAUAGCUUGGCUACUGCCCUGGGGAGAACUGCUUUGACCAUUCGACUCUUCUGAAGAUGCCUCCUGGUCCGAAAAGGACUUUCUCAUUCUCUUUCCACGAUGCCCAGCAUCAUCAAUAACAAAGAAAGAUCCAGCAGAGAUAGAAAGGUCCUGUUCAUCAGAAGACCACUUCCUGCCCAAAUCAUGAGUAUAAGAGAAGUUGACUAUGGCAAAGCCAGAUUGCUCAUAAGUGUUACAACUCUGAGAGCCAUGGGAGCCUUCUUGUCCUACCCAAGCACACCAGAUCUUGCUUAUCUUCUUGCAAUUCUUGUUACCUUCACAGAUCCUGUAUGAAAUAUUUCCAUACCCCAAAUGAUGCACAGGCAAGUCUGAAACAACAUCUUUUAUCAAUACACCAGGGAUAACAAGAGGACCAUCAGUUCCACUGUUUGACAGCACAUGAUCUUCAGAUACAGCAGCAACUCUACCACUAGCAUGGCCUUUUGCACAAUUGCGUGCACCUUCCACACCAUUACGGGAGCUAGAACCAUCUCUCAACUUUGAAGUCACCUCGAUCUCAUUCCCUGAAACCUCAGGCUGUGGAACUAGAGCUAGCUCUCUGGUGCUCUGCGAGCUUGAAUCCAGCAGGAGCGGAUCCUUCUCUCGCGAGUUGUUGAAGAACAGCACUCCGUCAUUAAACGGCCAUGGCAUCGGCCCAAACAGUGUGACCUUGGCCUCGGCGUACCGCCUUGAGUGCAGAUUCCCCUUGAGGUGGUCGAACAGCACAUUGUCGCUGAAGCACUCGGUGAGACAGAUGGUGCAGAAGAAGAUGACGCGCUUCCCGACGCGCCGGAGCUCCACAUAUGUGUGCCCAUUCUGCCGCACCUCCCGGAGAGUGGCCUUCGCAGCAAUCUCACGGAUGUCCACAGGGCCAUUCCUCUGGACCACCAAUUCCUUCCCCACCAUGGUGAAAUACUCGGAGCCACCAACCUUAAAUUUCCGCUUCUUUUGCUCACAAUUCCCUCAAAUUUCCCUCCAAAAACUACUUCCCUAACCUUCUCUUAUUGAAAUUAUAUGAAACUACAACCAAGACUAACACCUCUUCAGAUCUAUGCUUCCCUCCAAACCCUAAAAUUACAACUUAACAGCGAACUAACGGAGGUCGGAGCGGGCCUCGAUUACCCCACCCGUUUUUCCAGCUCUGUAUGCAUAGAUAGGAAGCCAAAUCGCACGAAAGCGGGCGGAAUUGAGCGCCCAUCCCAGAAACCGAAAUUUGAGUUCCCUGGCUCACAGCGAUGAAAGGGAAAUAUCAGCACGAACCUAGCUCGUCGAGCAAUCCAUCCAAUCAAGCAAGGUAGGCUCCCUUACGAACCAGAGCAGGAGCCACUUGAAGCCCGGAUGGAUCUGCGAGGGUUGGUGGUCACCAGCAAAGGGGAGGAGCGUAGCGACCGCGAGGGAUGAAGAACCGGACCGACGUGCUUCGGUGGAAGGAGGCGUGGGUGGGGGCGUGUUCCGCGGCGCGGUGAGGCAGCGGGGCCUUGGUCGCUGGUGGCGGGUGGCGGGAGCAGGUUCGCCGGCGAAGUGGUGGCUACCGGCGUCGGCGUGGGAAAUUUGGGAUGAGAAGGCGCAGGAGGACGACGAGAAUUCGAGAAGAGAAAGGAAGGCUGGUAGAAAGCGAAACGAGAGGUGUUCGGAAUAAAUAUGGUCACGGCGUGUUUCAGCAGACGGUUUUUUGAAUGGCUCGUGACUUACCGGAAGUGGGGUGAUAAAAAUGGUCGGAAGCCCGGAAAAGGCAACAAAAUUGUUGAUGGAGUUGUUUUAACUUUUAAGCAAACAUCCCUUUCUUUUUUUUGAGAAAUUUUAACAAACAUAGAAAAGAUAAAACUAUAAAAUAUUAUCAUUCACCUAGAUGUUUAUAUACGCAUAUGCAACUAUGCAUACACCCUACCUCUAUGAGCAUCGACGAGAUAUUGAAUUGACAAAUCUUGGUAUUAACAAUAUCACCGUAGCUCAUAGGCACAUCGUUAUCAACAGAAAUAUAUACCACUAAAAAUAUUGUUAAUUUCUAAAAUAAAUUUAGAAAAAUACGAGCACCCAUAUUAAUUUGAUGAUUCUAACCCAAAUAGACGUGCUUGAUCGUAAAGAACCUUAUGAACUGAGCUGUGCUUUGAUUCACAAAUUUACUGUUUACAUUAAGAUGUAUUUUGGGAUAAUGAAACUUAAAACUAAUAAUGAAAAUAGGAGCACUCCCAAAGAAAUCUGUUCAAAACAUGAUUUCCUCGUUCAUUUCCCUACCCUAAUCGUCAAUGUUUUGUGAUAUCGGCAGUUCGGCACAUCGUCUUAUGAUUUCAUUGGAUCGUCCCAUACGUUGUUUUGUAAUAUUGGCAGACUAGUGUUGUACUGUUAAACACGGCUCUAUGUUGACCGGGACCGGGAUCAUAUACUUUCUUUCCUCUUAAGAUAUAUGCUCACACACGAUGGGAAAAAAAAUCAAACUAUACAGAAACACAUGCAGCAGUUCUCGUGACCGCCUCCGGUGCCCAUUUCUAUCUGGGCAGAUAAAAAAAAAGGCAUGCAUCACACGCUUCGUCUCCACCAUCAUCAGAAAGGAAAGCGAAAGAAGAUAAAAACCAGCUCUUUUUACAUGUUCGCUCCGUUGAUUUUGCGUCAGGCUGAACAUUUCUUCUGCUUUUCGUGAGAAGGAAAAGAAGUUUCAACUUUCAACUCUACUAUGAUCUCUUCGGUGGCUACGGAUAUGCCACAUCUUAAUAUUCUGAUACUAAAUUCCGAAUUGACACUUGACCUGUGCACCAAUCAACAACGACGUGACACCCAACCUCAGUAACGUGGUGUGUUUUCCAAUUUAUCUAUUUUCUAAUAACAAAAACAAUGCUUUUGUGCCGGUCAACAUCAGGCAGCAGAAACUGAGAGCCAUGAGCCCAUGAGCAUCUUCAGAGUAUAAUCCUUUCUGAGGUGGCAAAGGUGCAAGGGCAUAUCCGGACCCAGCCAUGUACAUUCUUUCUGAGAUAACCGGAUAAAAUCCUUCAAAAGCAAUAGAAAAAUGAAGCUGCCAACAACCAGCACAUGAAUCAUCAACUGUCGGUGCCCUCGUUGAACAGCCGAACAAUCAUGCUUAUACAAAAUCGAACGCAGUGCUACUCCCAAAAGAGUUUCCCAGCGCCCAGGAAAGCGCCAAUCACAUGGUCCAUUUCAUAUGGCAUAUGAUCUCCAGCCUGGAGGAUCCGUCGCCGAAGAUAUUUCGUUAUCCCGCCACAACAGGCAAGCAAAAGUAGAUAACGCAAUAUUACAGUUUAUUCAGGCUAAGCUGAGCUACCCUGUGAAGAAGCAAAACGGGGCAUCAGGCAGGCAUGCAGAGCUGUGUCAAAUGAGAGUAACGGAGGAAAGGGGAUGCUUGCGAAAGGUUGCUCCAGAAUGUUUAUGCAGCCUCCACAUUUGGUUCAGCAUCCCCAUUAUCUUCAUCAGGCCCCCCAUCCUUCUUCACAAAGUCAAAUCCAUAUUCUUCCUCCGAAUAGUGCUCCUCGGCGCUUCUGCCAAAGAUGAAUGGUCUUCUACCCAUCGUUGUAAAAGGCAUUAGCCCAAAGGCACGCGCGGUUUUGAUCUCUCUUGCAAUCUUACGCUGAGCUUUCGCACUUAUGCGAGUCUGCAAAGAAGAUCAGUAAGUCAAAAACUGUGGCAAACAUAUGUUCAAUGCAGAAUUACAUGUGCAACGGCACUCUCUAUGGUAGUAAUGUAAUGGUUAAACAAGGUAACACAUGAAAAAGAACAUUGGCAGUGGGUUUGCAGAUAUGAAUAUAGAUGUCAUGCAUGGCUCUUCAUUUAAUACGUGGAUUGAAUUUAUAAUCAAGUCAAUGAAAAGAUAGACAUCCACCAAGAAGAUCUACACACAGCAGCAAAUGCUUAUCUUUCUAAGAAGAAAAGGUAUACAUGGAUGGGGUAAUGCAUAGAGGACAAUGGCACUCAAACCCUACACUGCUAUCAGCAUGUAUGAUUAGCAUCUAUCUAACACAACAGGAUCUGAUAUUACAAAUGCAGGAUUAUCUUCCCCAAAAAAGUUCCUCGUCAGUCAUCAUGUAUAACAAGUAGUGGUUACCUGGCUUCUCUUGAUGAUAAUUCCAGCUUCUGUAAGAAAGUUGGAGAGGAAUCUAACAUUCUGCAAGGAACAGUUCCGAAUAUGUUAAAAAAAAUGAAACUGGAAGAUACUUGUAGCCACGCCAUAGGAAUUCAUCAAUCAGAUCAAAUAUAUAAUCUUUGGAGAAAAGUUAUAUUAAAUCUAAUCAAACUUUUGAAACUUUGACCAACAAUAGCUUUCAAAAUAUUUACUUUGGAAACACAAAAAUGUAUAUGCAGAUUUAUCUUGGAAAGCACUUUCAUAAUCUUAAUACUUUUAUGUAGACAUUAUAACUAUAUUCUAAUAGGAAAAACAGUGAUCAAAAUUGCACUCUGAAGCUCUUAAAAGUCAGAAGCAUCAAGUAUUUUUUACCGGUAGUAUAUAUGUUCCUUGCGGAGAGGUGUCUAACAGUAAAUAUAUAAUGGCAUGGUUUAUAGACUAGAUUUUGAUUUUCUUUGCAUGUAGAUCUGAUUUUUCAAAAGAUAUGUAUGCAUCAUUGUUUCACACCUCGAAACUCAGAAUGCAUGGCUGCUUUUCAAGUAUGUGCUUUGAUACUUACUGCAGACAAGUGUUUGAGACCAAAACCAACCCAAGAUAUAUUUAAGCUUCCUAUGUGCAUUAGUAACUUAAAACGAGUAGUGUACAAACUAAUUUGCACUCCCUCCAUUUUUAAAUAUAUGACAUUUAGGACAAGCUAAUUAGUUCACCUAAAUGUCAUAUAUUUAAAAACGGAGUAUUUCACUGUAAUGAAGUACCUACAUGUGCUAAGUUAAAAUAUAACAAGUAGCACAAUCACAAGAAAAUGUCAAGAGUACCAUAGAUUAGGACUAACGGUGAAUAUUGGUCCUGUUCUAUUUGUAAAUAAGAUGAUAUUUCAGGAAAAUCACAUAUUGACAAAUACAUGAUAAAUUAAAGGGCGGCAGGUACAUUGCUUGUUAACACUAUCCCGACUUUCUCGAAUGGAAAAAAAGGGUGCCAUUUUUAGAUCAGCACAGAUUUGUUCCCAAAAUUCAUGCUAUUUAGCAGUUUAGGAUUUACAAAGCAGUAGAGCACUACUAAUCAACAAUUCAACGUAAAAUAAAAGAAAAUAUAGUCAAUUUCCUUGUGUUUCCAGGCAGAUAUACUAACCCUAAAAUCAGCCUUCCUCAAAACCUCCGCUGUAGUUGUUUCAAACUGUGGUCUAGGAGGGUUCUUUGCGGCUGCAGGUCUUUUAAGGUCAAGGUCCUACACACAUUAGAAUUGAAUGAAAUAUGGCAUUAGAAUAACAAUGACACAAAUGAUGAAAGAAAAAUGUAAAUCACAUGUGGUAUUAUAAAGACUAAUAGCAUCAGCAUUUGGUGGCUUUUAAUGAUCCAGGAAAUAACUUAUUGGAAAAGCAAUGCCAUUUGUUUCGCAAAGAUCUGCCUAGUAAAGCAUACAAUUUUGCCAUACAUAGACAAGGACAACACUGGCAUUUCUAGACAACACACUUACACCCUGAAUUACUGAAUGCUUAGCUUACACAGGAUAACAAAACCUCAAGACUGCAAAAGAUUUUAGAUGUCACGUGACUACGCAUUGAUGAAACAAACUCCCUCUUACCCGAACAUUAUAAGUCGAACCUCGCCUAAAGUCGACAUCAGGCCUGAAAUCAAAGUCUUCAUCAUCCCAGUCCUCAUCAUCAUCGUCGUCAUCGUCCAUUUGGAAGUUACGUGCCACAUGAGCCAGCGUCUCACCCAUUCCAUCAUUCAAAGAGUCAAAACCACCCAAUGGCCCAGAGCUGCUCCUGUCGCCGAACACACCAAAACCACCCAUGGACCCAGAACUGCUCCUGUUGCCCAAACCACCGAAACCAGCCAUGGAUCCAGAGCCCAUGCCGUAUCUCUUACUGGUAUUCUCAACCUUAUCGAGCUUCCGAUAGAGUGACCCCUCGUCCACCCCCUUGUUGCUCCCAAACAGACGCGCCUCGAAUUCAUCCAUGGUCUCACCAAUCUCGCCAUCCCCUGCGCAUCAAUCAGCACCAGAAGCAUAUCAGCAGCAGCGUAAUUAGGAGAUCACUAUAGGAUCAAUUCUUCAAUCUCAUAACAUAACACCUGAAGUCACUAGAAAUGACGAGUUUUAGCACGCAAAAGCUGGGCAACUAAUAUGCGUCAGACUCAGACCUAGAUCUCUAAGGCCAUUCGAUUCACCUUAUUGUUACGACUAAAUGGGAAGAGUGGGCAAGUACGAGAACUACGCGCAUCACGCGGCACAAAAGGGGAGGGAGACACUGCAUGGGACGGCUAGGGAGCGGCGGGGACAGGAGGAGGAGGAGGUGUGGGUGCUCACCGGACUGGAAGGAGCGGCAGAACUCGCUGGCGGCGGGUGGCCGGUGGGAAGGGAGGGCUCGUCGGAGCGAGGCGCGCCGCGGGAGAGAUCGCCUCAGAGCCGAGCUCGCCAUCGCGCUCGGUGGUGAUUCGUCGGCGCCGCCGCAACCCCGACACCAGGGAGGAGCGGGGGAGGAGUGGGUGAACAGGGGUUAGGGGUUUCCUCCUUUUUGCGUUUUGGACCCCGUGGAUGACCCCUUUUUGCGUUAAUACUAUCACUCCAAGUUCUUGCUUAACCGAGGGGGUGUUUGGUUAUCACAUGGAAGGUAUAGAUAUUAAUUAGGAGUAUUAAAUAUAGAUUAAUUAUAAAACUAAUUACAUAGAUGGAGGUUAAUUUGCGGGAUGAAUCUAUUAAGCCUAAUUACUCCAUGAUUUGACAAUGUGAUGCUACAGUAAACAUGUGCUAAUGAUGGAUUAAUUAGGCUUAAUAGAUUCAUCUCGCGAAUUAGCCUCCAUCUAUGUAAUUAGUUUUAUAAUUAGCUCACAUUUAGUCCGAAUAUUCGAUGUGACAUGAAUUUUAGCCCGGACUAAAUCCAAACACCCCCUAAAUAACUAGUACAGUAACUUUUCAAAAAAAACCUAAAUAACUAGUUCAAUGCUCUCAGUUUGUUUUUUGUGAUGUUUCGCUGCUGAUGCAUUUGUUUCGUUGUGUGAUUGACUGAAUCCAUAUACUGGUAACUAGUACAUAAAGCAUGAAACAACUAAAUAUCUCGGUAAGUUUUUAUAUUUCAAUUACUCGCAAAAAAAGGUUUUAUAUUUCAAUUAGUUAAGUCUAACUUUAGAUCGAGAUGAAAAAAAAUCUUGCACGCCAUAAAUAUGGCAUUGGAUUUUUUUUAUAACCUUACUACAAAUUAAUUGUUUGGUUUAUUAGUAUUUGAAAAGCUCAUGCUUUUAUAAAAAAAAUAUUGACUAACUGUUAGUCAGAUAAUACACAUUCAUUAUGAAAAUUAUAUUAAUCAAUUUGUAUUUCACAAAUACUUUAGUAUAACAUCAUUUUUGUAGUGUUGGCAUAUUAUAAUGAUAACUUUAUAGUUAAAGUACUCCAAUUUUUUCUAGGCAAUGAAAACUUCUAACAAUUUUUCAGAUUAGUCUUGUAAAAAUAAGCUAAGGGAGUACAAGUAUUCUUUAGCUUGGCGUGGUACCUAUUACAUUGUAAUUAUCUCAUGCCUUUUGCUUUGUGAAACAUCAUAAUGUUGUGGUAAUAUGAAAGUUUGGCUGAAUAUGCCUCAUUUUGGCAUGAGGUUUAUGAUCGAGAAAACAUGUAGCCAACACUAGAUUGACGCAUUUAAGUCAUGUAGAUGCUUAGAGGUUGCUAAAGAAAUGAAAAAAAAUACAUACACAAAAUGCUUGUUCACAAUAGAGACAAUCAUCUUUGUAGAUGUCUUUGUGUUGAAUUUGUGCGAAUGGCAUUUACAAUAAGUAUAUAACUAUCUUGAUCUUUUUACUUACAAUAGUACAAGAUGUCGUUCCUGGCUUAUCUAGGAACUCUAUGUCGGUUUUUAGACCCGGCAACCUACUAAGGGGGUAAUCGAGAUAGUGUUUUAUACGUGGAGCUUGCUGAGAUCACGAACUGGGAGGUGAACUCGAACACACGAUUUAGACAGGUUCGAGCCGCUUAUGUCGCAUAACACCCUACAUCCUGUGUGUUAGUUGAGUUGUAUUGAUUGAACUUGUUUGGAGGAGGUCCCUGCCUUGCCUUAUAUUGCUGGGGGCAGGGUUACAGGUCGGUUGUUUACAAGAAUACUAAUCGUAUUCGACUAGAGAAUCCUACUCUAAUUGCUACAAGUAGUUUCCUGCACCGUAAUCUCUAUGUCUGACACAUCUCGAUGUACUGCCCUGUAUCUAGGAUUGUCCAAACCUUCUGGUGGGCCCAUAGAUGUAUGGACGACAAUCCCUCGAGUACUUUUUAGUAAAAUGUAGCCGUUCUGAGUACUUCUAUAGAUGUCUCCGACUAGUUUGUGGUGCUUCUUUGAGUACUCCAUCGGAUUGAGUCUUCGAAUGUACUCGAGUACUGCCAUGCAGCUAGAAUAUGCUCAAGCCUCAUUUAACUUGGUCUUGAAUCUUCAAUCUUGAAUCUUAUAUGGAAGUGCGAUGAAAAAUCGCACUCCAUAUGAAGUAGCCCCGAACCUUAGGUUGAAUUGAAGAAUCAGGCUGAGAGUCAAUCUUGUAAUUUCACAUCUCUUUUACCUUAAAACCCCAAAGAAAAAACUUUUUAGCCGAUGGGCACGUUUCUACAUUGCGGUGUAGUUGUUUCUUGAAUCACUCUUGGAUGGUUCGUUGAUAUGUCGCGUCUGCAUUCUUCAACCUGAAGGGCAUCAUAGUAUAGCAGAAAGCUCCAUACAGGGUGAUGAACGCGAUCUUGAUCUGGUCUUGUUCCUUGAGAGCUAUCUGGUGAUACCCCGAGUAGUAAUCAAGAAAACAUAGUAGAGUGCAUCCAGUCGUUGAGUCGAUGACUUGAUCAAUCCUUGGGAGCCCGCAGGGAUCCUUUGGACAGUGCUUGUUGAGGUUUAUGUAGUCGACACAUAUCAUCCACUCGUUGUUGUUUUUCUUCCGCGCCAAGAUGGGAUUGGCUAGUCAUUCUGCAUGAUAGACUUCUUUUAUGAAACCAGCCGCAAGUAGUUUGGCUAACUCUUUUUUGAUUGCUUCUCUUCUGUCUUGGGCGAAUCGGCGUAGUCGCUGUCAUUUUAGGCCUUGUUUAGUUGCUUGAUUUUGGGUGUCCAAAAUCACUGUGCUAGCACUGUAGCACACUAUAGCGUUUCGUUUGUAUUUGUGAAUUAUUUCCAAAUAUUGACUAAUUAGGCUCAAAAGAUUCGUCUCGCAAAGUACAACAAAACUGUGCAAUUAAUUUUUGAUUUCGUCUACAUUUAGUACUCCAUGCAUGUACCGCAAGUUUGAUGUGAUGGGAAUCUUCUUUUUGCAUAGUAUCAAAGUUGGGAGUUUGGGGGGAACUAAACAGGCCCUUAGUAUAGUUUUGGGAUCCACAUUUAGUGAGUGCUCGAUCAACUCCCAGGGCACCCUCGGCAUAUCAGAUGGCUUCCAUGCAAAGAUGUCUCGGUUGGUCUAGAGGAAGCUGACGAGCGCAUCUUCCUAUUUGGGAUCCAGCCCUGAGUCAAUCAUGGCUGUCUUAGAGCUAUCGCUGGUCAUGGCUUUGAUAUUGACCUCACUUGCCGGCUUGACCUUUGUUGCCCCCGACUUCUUCUCUAGGAUCUCGAGUUCUGUCGGGGAAAGUUUCUUGGAGGCAGUGAAGACUUGCAUCAUCGAAUUUGGCACCUGAGUAGUCGCUGCCAGUUCGACAGCUUUUGUGUCGUAGUCGUAUGAUUUCUUCAAGUCUCCGCGCAGGGAGAGUACUCCCUUGGGUCCCGGCAUUUUGAGUACUAGGUACACGUAAUGCGGGAUGGCCAUGAAUUUGACCAGUGUGGGUCUUCCGAGAAUAGCAUGAUACGACGUUUCGAAAUCAGCCACCUCGAACUAGAUGUCCUCGGUUCGGUAAUGAUCCUUGGUCCCGAAGGUAACUGGCAAGACUACCUGAUCAGGGGGUACAGCCGCGUUUCCUGGGACAAUCCCGUAGAAUGGGGAGUUCGUCGGGGUGAGCAUAUAUCCAUAACGUCAAGGCCCAUUUUCCUCAAAGUCUACCGCCAUCAAUGAGUACUUUUGUGAGUCUAGAGUCUACAACUACUAGGUCCAGGAUGAGAGGGUAGCGUCCUGGGUCAGAGAAACUAGUCCACUGAUCCUUCCUGGAGAAAGUGAUUGGUACCUCGGACCACUUGAGGAACGUAGGCAUUGCUAGCUCAAUGGAUAUGAUCUCUCGGAGGGCUAGUUUUUGGGACCGCUUGGUAGCAGUACCCUGUGUGCCGCCGAAGAUGAUGUUGACAUUGUUGGACGGGUUCUAAAAUUUGUCGUUGUCGUCAUCAUCCUCGUCUUCUUUCACCUUGCCCUUAUCCUUUGCUCCAGAAGGUUCCGACAGAUCUUUCAUGACCCUGCGGAGGCUAUAGCAAUCCAUCGCAGAGUGCUUAGAGUGUGGGUGCUACGGGCGCUGUUUUUUCAGGAGCUCUAUGAACAGAGUCCUUUCUUGAUUUCCGCCGUCUUUCUUGGACGACUGGAACAUCGCCGUGACAGUAUUAUUUGACUUCCUCUUGUGAUUUUGACCACCCGAGUAGUUGCCUCGGUUGUCAUUAUUGGGUCAAUUAUUACAGUUCACAUCAUUGCGUUGGCCAUUACUUUGCUUGUUAUUGUUCUGACCUCAGUUACGACUAGACUCGAACCGUUCAAUCUCUUUAUCUUUUUCAUCGACCCAGGCUUGUAUCAUGAUCUUGAGAGAUUUGAUGUCUUCCGGGCGUAUCCUGCCCAAAUCUUGGAACAUCCGGCAAUCAAAAAGACCGUUAUGGAAGCAGUCUAUGGCGUCCCACUUCGUGAUGUCCAUGAUAGUGGCCUUCUUGUCGAAGAAACGGCAUAGAUAACUACGUAGGAUCUCGCCUUGUUGUUGUUUGAUUUGUGACAAAUCAAUCCUAUUGCCAGGGCGUUGCAUUGCCCCUGUGAAGUUAUUUGUGAGCGCCGCCUUGAGGUGACUCCACGUGUUGAUGGAGUUCUCUUCUAAGGAUUCAAUCCAUGUGAGUGGCCCUGCCUCCAUGCAGAUGGGGAAGUAGAUGACUUUAGUGUUAUUGUUUGUUCCCGCUACCUGAACUGACAGCGAGUAGCACCGCAGCCAUUGGACUGGGUCCUGCUUGCUGUCGUACUUUGUGAUACCUGGAGGUUUAAACUUGUAGGGUAGGACCAUCUUGCGUACUCAUUUUGAGAAGGCGGGAAACCCGUUAGAAUCUUCUUCGCGAUUAUUGUUGAGCUUCUAAUGGAGGUCACGUGCUGGGGGUUCAGGCUCUGGAUAGGGCCCACGGUGGCCACGGCCUCUCGAGGGUCCUACCCGACUACUCUGCCCUGUGCUAGCUUGAUCUGGGUUCUCAAUUCUGGUAACCUCAUUUUGACUUGGUCUGGCACCCUCAUUUCGACUUGGUCUGGUGCCUUCAUUGCGACUUGGACCCCUAAGGCUACUGCCAUGAUGGGAUGAGGUGUGUCGAACCGAGUGUAUUGGGCUCUGUUGAUCAAGUUGCUCGUACGCACGCUCUGCUAGCUGAGCCAGUUGCCUGGUAUACUUGUCCUAUGGCAUUGCCCAAGUAAUCAGGUCAAUGGAUGCAAUAGUGGUGAGAGGAGUGCGAAGUUGACGCGAUUGGACUGCUUCGAAUGCGCGGUCCAAGUUCAUGAUGGGUAGAUCGGAUGCAAGGGGGCGACGACGAUCUGCUCGUGCCGUGUUUCUUGCUCACCGUCGAUUCCUUUGACUUCCGGUUUCUUCUCCUUUUAUGUUGGCGGUGAGCUCAUCCUGCGACACAUCGUCUGGAUGACGCUCGUGUCACGGAUGCCUUUCUGGUGGUUCUUCACCGUCGCCAUCUUGAGCAGCUAUGAUGGUGAGUAGUUCCUGCUCCGCAGAAAAAUUACCCGAGCUUGACAUGAUGAUCUUUGUCGGGCCGUCUUCUUCGUAGAUAGGAGACAGAGGUGUUCCUUCCUGGUAUGGGAGAGUAUUAAGAUAGGUGACAAGGCGUGACUCAUCGUCCUUGGCGAGAGCAGGUGGCUCCAUGCCGGGCUAGUAGACGAAUCUACCUUGUGAAGUUGAAAUAAUUACCAAUCCCUGUUGUGGACCUGAUAAAGGGACUUUCUCAUAUGGAUCUGAGUAUUAUUCGAGAUCCUCGAUCAAAUCCGAGUUAGAUUAUGAUCUGAACAGGGUAGCUUGGUAGACAGUACCCGAGUUUUGGAGUCCGAACGGGAACCGACUUGUAUCUAGACCGAUUCGCACGAUGGCUUAAGUGCCAGCUCGUGGGAAUCAAUCUGACUGGGGGAAGAAGUCGAGUUGUACUCGGACUCGUCCCCGGAGCCUCGGAAUAAGUCAAAAAUUUUGUUGAAUUUUUCGACAAAAUCCUCCAAAGCUUGGCGAUGAAGGUUGAUGUCGUAGUGCUUCUCCUCGGGUGUCGGCGCAAUGUGGUGGUGGAAGUUUCUAGUACCGUCUGCGACGCAGACCCAGAAGCCGAAGAUGAAUGUUGCGCCCGCUUCAAACGCGAAGGUGGGCUUGAUGAUGACUUGAGCCAUCGAGUUCGUCAGUGGAUUCUCAGCGAGAGCCCCUACCUAUCGCGCCAGCUGUCGGUGUUUAGACCCGGCAACCUACCGAGGGGGUACCUGAGGUAAUGUUUUAUGCAUGGGGCUCGCCGAGAUCAGGAACUCGAAGGUGAACUCGAACACACAAUUUAGACAGGUUCGGACCGCUUAUGUCAUGUAACACCCUACGUCCUAUAUGUUAGUUGUGUUAUAUUGAUUGAACUUGUUUGGAGGGGGUCAUUGCCUCGCUUUAUAUUGCUGGAGGCAGGGUUACAGGUCGGUUGUUUACAAGUAUUUUAUACAUUGGAAGUACAUUUGCUAGCAAAUUUAUCGAUAUCUUUUCAUUUUAGUCAAAACAUUCAAACAAGUGUUAGCCAUAGCCCAAACAGUAGUAAGAAGAGGCAAUUAUUUUCAUCUCAGGACUGCUCGGUCAGAAAGGGUCAGAAAGUGUUUGCCAUAGCCCAAACAGUAGUAACAAGUGUUAGCUCGCCCCCUUUCUGCCAGGGGUAAGGAUGGCGGCGGCGGCGGCGGCGGCGGCGAUACUCGAGCUGGACCCGUCGCACGAGCGCGCCGCCCGCGUCAUCGACAAUAUCGUGCGGCUAGAGAGGAGGAUCUUCCCGAAGCACGAGUCGCUGGCGCGAUCCAUCCACGACGAGCUCAAGCGCCGGAACUCCGGCCUGAUUUACAUGACAUCCAGCGCCGCACGAGCAGGAGGCGACGGCGAUGAGGUCGUCGGGUACGCCAUGUACACCUGCCCGACCUCCCUCUGCGCCACCAUCACCAAGCUCGCCGGUGAGAACACAACUAGAGCCUUCUCUAUCCUCUCUUCCCCCUGAAGCUGCCAGCUAAGACCGUGCGCAAAACUUCAACUCUGUGCGCAGUGAAAGAGAGCUGUAGGCGGCAGGGCCACGGCGAGGCUCUGCUGAAGGCGGCCGUGGAGCGGUGCCGGGGGAGGAGGGUCCAGCGGGUGAUCCUCCACGUAGAUCCGGCGAGGACGGCCGCCGUCGCGCUGUACCGGAAGGCCGGGUUCCAGGUCGACGCCACCGUCGAGGGAUACUACGCGCCGCGGAGGGACGCCUACCGGAUGUUCGUGGAUCUUCAGUGACAUGGGAGCCGAUCAAGAAAACAAGCAAGCAUCGCUUCUUCGUCGUCCUCGUGAGAGAAUCGAGCUCGCUUGCCAGUUGCGAACGAGCAGUAGCUCUGAUUCUCCUCACAGUGUCAAUAAGAUGCUCUGAUGCAUUCUGAUUCUGCGAAUGCUAUUAUGGAUGAUUCCCUAGUUCCAAAUUGCUGGAUCUGUACAAACGAUCCAUUCAGUUCAGAGGAUUCCACAAGAUCAGUUCAAUCCCCACUGGGAUCUGAAAAAAAAAUCUCACAAUUCCGGUUGAAAUUCAGACAAACUUUCACAUUUUUGAGCUUACACGACUAAGAUACUUUAUGCAGUCACUAACUCUAGAUAAUCUUGCAAGUGUUGGAUAAUUCGGUUCACCGUUGAUGUCACAUCAUUUGUCCUGCUAGGACAGGCUAACUCAACAAGUGGUGGGCAUUUUUUGGAAAAUUUUGAACCUUUUAUAAGCUAAUAGCAACAGUCGUUCCUAAUAAUGGGGGGCUAGAUUCAGGGCCUGUUUGGCAACCAAGUGUUAAAAUUUAACACCUGUCACAUCGGAUGUUUGGAUGCUAAUUAGGAGUAUUAAAUAUAGGCUAAUUACAAAACUAAUUGCACAGAUGAAGUGUAAUUCACGAGACGAAUCUAUUAAGCCUAAUUAGUCCAUGAUUUGACAAUGUGGUGCUACAGUAACCAAUUGCUAAUGAUGGAUUAAUUAGGCUUAAUAGAUUCGUCUCGCGGAUUAGCACAGGGUUCUGCAAUUAGUUUUAUAAUUAGCUCAUAUUUAGUUCUCCUAAUUAGCAUCCGAACAUCCGAUGUGACACUGUUAAAGUUUAACACCUCGUAUCCAAACACCCCCUCAUUGACACUAAUUAGCAGCCUAUUUGCAGCAGAAACUUUCCAACGCUCAGACCUUUAUGUUGCUUCACUAACGGAAACAUGAGAUGGUCACAAACAAGCCUGCCUCCAUUUGGGGCAAGCACAGAGUUCUCUAUUAACAGAGCCAAGUCAGAUAUGUACAGAGUGGCUGGAUAUGAUUUAGGAUGCAUGCAGGCACUAAAUAAGUUCUAAAGCACGACCAGACGGCUUGCGGCUCCAAAGCAAUUCAGGCACUUCCAAAAGCUCGAGUAAAGCAUGGAAGUGGAUAACAGGGGCAUAAAAUUCACUGGAACUGGGUACUGACUGAAGGUCUUCGAGGAGGCAGCAUCACGGUCAUUUUAUGUGGGAAUCAUAAGCAGUGAAGAUGACGUCUGGGACAAUCAGAGGCAGCUUGCUUAUGUACAUGAACAGCCGUCUGAGGUUCUCACUCGACACCGUCUCCAUGUCAACCACGUCUUGGUCCUCAACAUAGAUCCACAGGUCACCAGGACAGGUCUUCUUCAGGUUGUCACGGCAGAAUGGGCAUGACUGCGAUCUUGAAUUCCUGCGAGAAAGCAAUGUUAUGUCAAAGCAUAGUAUCUGGAACACGAAAAAUAUCAAUUCUAACAGUAGUCACUAUGGUGAAAACCUUGGAGCAUGGAAUUCAGUGACUCAAAAACCAAGACACGCUAAUUGAAAAGGUGCAUUGGCUAAAAGAAUACAGACAAACUACAAUUAUCAUAGUCAUAGGAACACCUAGUACACAGAAUAAAUUGCAGGCACCUACUAUCAGUGUUUGCUAACAUAUGAAGCUACUAUGAAUGGCAGGACCACAACUUAAUGAGCUAAAUUGUUAGCUGAAGAGAACAAAGGAGUACAGUGUUUUCAUCAUAGCCUAGAACUGAUGCGCUGUAAACAGAGUACAUGGUUGACACAGAAGAUGAAUGAUUGUGUUCAUGGAAUGGACCAAAAAAGAAAAGCAAUACUUGAUACACUCAGGUUUCUCUUUGCAAUGAAGGAAUGGGAGAACAUAGUUAAAAGAAUCAGGUGCGAAUCAGCACAUUUAGCAUACUUAACAGUAGUUGGCAAAAUUACCUGAAUAUCGCAAUGCUACUUUCUAAUGAUCACUUCAUUUUCAGAAUGACAUCGGGACAACAUAUAAAUCAAUACAAACAUGCUUCACAGAGCAUUAUGUUCUGUUCAGCUACUGGCCAUUCAACCCCAGGGGCUUCCUUACAAGAGAGGUUAACCUUGUACAGACACCAUAAGCAUGGAGGGUCUUAGUCUUGUUUAUAAGCAUAUAAGUUGGUGAAAGAACUAGAAAGACAGGUUUAAGCUUAUCUGCAGAAAGAACCAUUCUCAGCAGCUCAUGCUUAGCAGGCCCUCAAGCUUCAAAUAUUAUCAAGACACAGAAUAUACUUGAAUCAUCCAGCUAAAAAGCUUGUUAAUUGGGAAGAUAACGCAAGAAUGUUGCACUUGCACAGCAGUAAAAGUUUAAGCAAUUGGGAAUACAACGCUCAAUGCAGUCACGCAAAAGGCAUGGGCAGAAACUGAAAUUUCGUGCAUACCAGUCCUGGUAACAUCUGAGGCACAUAGCAUGGGUGCAGUUGGGCAACACAACUUUGCUGUUCAUCUCCAUGCAGAUCCCACACUCUUCUUCCCUCUCAACAUCAAUAUCAGAUAAGCUGCUUCGUUCGUCCUCAUCUUUCUUUCUGUACCUCUCCAUGCACACAGCCUUCUGCUUCUUGUCCUCCACAUCAGUGAUCCCCCUUUGCAGUUGCAGCAAAGAAGGAAAUAUCACAGCUGCCCAUGCCAACCACAAUGAACUCCGAUCAACAAACCAGCACAAAAGAUAACAUAGUCAGGCAAAGUUGUAAGAACAUCAUGUACUCUCACCAUAGAAUUCUUUGAUGCUGGCUUUCCUCUCAUGAGUCGACAUGGUUGUCGUGCCAUCGACAUAAACCUGCAAAAUGGCCACUAAUUCAGCAGGGCACCUCCAAAAUGUGAGCACUGAACCAACAAACACACAGGGGCAGAGCAUUCCACAGACCUUGUAUAUGAGAAUCCUCAGCAGACCAAGCGCCCCGGCAAGGCUGCAGUCAGUCCACUGCACCAGGAAGAGGAAUAUAUGCGCGGCGGAGCUGUAAGACAGCCGCAUCUGCAGGCACGCACCAUCGCAGUCUCGGGGAAAUUCAGAGGCCCUGCUCAUUCAAACAAGCAAACAACUAGCAUCACUUGGCAGAUCACAUGCGCUCGGAGAGUCGGAGAAGAGACACCACCUUCUCCUCCCCUUUCCCUCUAGGCAAAAACUAUAAUACUCCAAUUUAGAACGCUGGAGCACAUGGGAAUGAAGCAGUGUUUUCUUUUUAGUUAACAUGCUAAACACAUGCGAUCCCCUCCCGAUCUACCGCCCUGCGCCGCGCCCGUGCGCGCGCGGAUAACGCAAUCAGCAACCAGCGCCGCACCAACCUCCCACGACGAAUCCCUCCGCGGGAGACGAACCGGGUGGGUGCUCGAUUGAUCAACCCGUCGCACUCCCUACCCGCCGCCGCAUUGCGCAGCGCCGGCAGCAGCAUGAGGCGGCGUGGACCCAGCCCCGGCAGAACCCCAAGCGCCGACUCGAUCAGGAAGUCAGGCAGAGAGAGACGAGAAGGACACGAGGCCCGUACUAGUGAACUGGGAGCGGAAUCGGCAGGAGACGGUGAUGUGACGCGGCGCCGGAAUCGGGAGGGGGGCGGAGAGGGGGAGGGAGAGAGGCGGGCGAGCUGGGCUUACAGGGUGUUGGCGUGCUGGAUGUCAGCUUCGAGCACCUUGAUGGAGUCCCUGUACGCCUUCCGCAUCCUCCUCCGCCGCCGCCGGUGCUGCCCUUCUCAUCCAAGUGCCGCCCGGUCCCGGCAAACCCCCCGCCUCUCUCUCGCACCUGGCUGCGCUGGUGGCGUCGGAUUGGGAGGAGGGAGGUGAGGCGAGAGGGUCUGGGGGGUCUCGGGCGCCGCGCGGUGGGGGGUGGGGUGGGGUGGGUGGCGUGGGGGAGUGGUGGGAUGAAGGAGACGAUGAGGGCGCGGCGCAGGGGCAGGGGCAGGACGCGACGCGCGAGUGGGCGUGCCGGGCGCGCAGGGCAGACAGGGGAGAGCAGAGCGCGCCGCGUGUGCCCGCGCCGGGCGUGGCCGCGUCGGGAUGCGUGAGAUCCCCGUGGGUCUGGGGCGCCUCUGCCCUCCUGCCGGCCCCGCUCUGGGUUUUCCUCUCCUCUUUCGGGUGGUAACUGGUGUCCGGUAACAGCCGGGUAAAUGUUUAUGCGUGGAAAAGCAGCCGUGCACCGACGUCCGGCGACGGAACUCGGAAGCUACCGAAAACGGUAGGAAUAAGGUGAGGCGGAGGGUCGACAUUGUUGUGUGGUUAUAUAAGAGGAAGAUUUUGCAGAUUUUGUGAGAAAGUUCUAAAACUUGUGAAUAAGUAAUUAUAGUAUUUUGGAUGCGUAAACUUCUAAUUUAGGAAAUUUAUGGCCUAAGAGUUGUUUCUCUACGGACUACGGCACACAUACAAUGCAACACGAGAAUUUAUUAUGGUCAUACGCGCUUGAGAUCCCCGUACCAUAUUUUACCCAACACAAAGUAACCUUUUUAGAUUAAGGAAAUCAAAUUCCGGCCUCAGCUAUCAGAAGGUUGAAAGCUUGCAGAGAACUAAGGCCGUCUCCAGUGGGCCUGUUCGCUUCAGCUUAUAAGCCGGCUGAAAAGCUGAAACAGUUGAUUUGUUGUGAGAGGAAAACACUGUUUGAUAGCUGAUAAGCCAGCUGAAUAAGCUGAAGCGAACGUGCCGAACGCUAGUAGAAAUAAUAUUCUAUUUGCUAAACAGUAGCAAAACUGUGACGCUAGCGCAGCUCGGAGCGAUAGUCUCGUGCAGCUCCCGAUACUUUUCUCCCUCACCACAAAACUUGAAGCUGUCUGCUGCGCCUGAUCAUCCCGUUUUCCUUCCGGCUUACAGCUACCAGCUGUCUUAUACCGCUGGAGCUGCCCUAAGGUUAUAAUGUAACCAACAUGCAUAUGCAGUGAUCAUUGACCAAUUAGUGGGCAGCCUAGUUUUGCAUUUCUUGAUUAUCUUCACCAACUGGAAUGUUACACGCAGGUGGCCUGUGGUUAUCCUGUUGCUUUCAACUCUUCCUUUUCACGAGGCCAACUGAACAACUUUCAUUAUCGCUAAGUGCACUCCGUAACACUAAUCAACCUUGUUUCGUGUAAACUCUGAACCUGAAGUAGUACUUGCACUGUGGUAAGUUAGCUGUAUAUAACGAAUGAUCCUUUUAUAAUAAGUUGCAACAACAUUCGAUCUAUACAAGCAUGCUCGUUGAAAUGCUGCUACAAACUUACGAUUUAUUUUUGAAUUUCCUAUAACUAUCCUUGUAUAUUCGACGGAAAAGAACUUUGUUACGUGCUUCAUGCUCUAUCCUACCCUACAUAUGCAUUUUUUGCUGUUGCUAUUAAGUUAUCAUAACUAUGUUGUUGGCCCUAACAUAUCUUUUUUCCUAUUGGGUUUUCACAUCAGGCACUAUUUUGAAUUGCCUGGUGUGUUUGGUUGCUGGAAUCCAGUAAAAGAUACGUAGGGAUCCGUUAUCAAUCUUGAGGACUAUUUUGUUUGUCAAGCAAAUUAAGGAUCCAAAAUAGAAAAGAAAGAUGAUUUUGGAUACGAGAUUGCAAGGUGAUGAACACCAUUAUACUGGCUUUUUCUUUCCAUUUCUCAAGUAAAAAGUGGCACCUCAAAUUUGAAUCUUGUAAAAUUCAAUAUCAUGAACCUAUAUUUUUUUAAAUGGAUUUUUUAUUUUAAAAUUUCAAAAUUGUUUGAAUAAAAGUCAAUAUUUAAAAGUUAAAACUUGAAAUUUUGUAAUAUUGGAAUAGUUAUAUUCGAAGUUGUUUUCUAACCUCAUGAAGUGCAAACUUUCAUAAUUUGUUAAUUGUAUUUCAAAGGUGGUCAGUUUUAUGUAAUUGUGAAUUUAAAAGGCAUAAUGAAGUGCAUUUUAACCCCAGAUUCCAAUUAUAUUUUAGUUUUUUGUAUAUAUAAAACUUCUAGAAAUAGCUCAAACUUUCCUAUGAAGCAACCAGUUUUGACAUAAUACACUUUGUUGGUAAUGUAUUAUUCCCAAUAUCCUGAUUGAGAGCAACCUCAUAUUUGUGGGUAUUUAUCGUUAAUGAAAGCACCCUAAUCUUGGACCCUCAUGUCAAUAGAGAAGAUAGCUGCAUUUUUAAAUACGCUAAUGGAGGUUCACAGCUACACGAAAAAAAAUCUACUUGGGUGUAUUCAAGCGAAAUAAUCUAUGAAGUGUAAUUUUUGGAUGUGUUUUCUAUGCUAAAAUAAUCAACAAACUAAUCUAAGUCAUAUUUGUUAUCAAAAAUUAUGUAUUUAAAAAAGAAUAGUAAUUUGGGUUGGAGGGAGUACAAGAUAAGAUGAAUUUAUAUGCUUAGUACCUAGGAGCAGGUAGGAGUAUAUAGUGCAGUCUAAUUCUAGGAUGCACCUAGCAAUUUGCCUCUUUGGGACCCGGCAGACUCUGGCCUGGAUGGAUUUAUGAGGCCGGCAGUGGAUCUUUCCAGUAAUUAACUAGUUUAUUUAAGGCAUGAUACCCGCGGAUAAAGUUUUUUUUUUUUG
rnacentral:lncRNA from 1 species